GUUUGUUUCUUGAUGUGUAUUGUUGGUGCUCUGGACCUUCUUGAUGAUACAACAUGGGGUGUUUUUCUUGAGUGUUCUUAUUUGUCCAUUUGCUUGCAGUGCUGUGGAUUGAACCCAUGGCCUCCUACAUGCUAGGCAUGUACUCUGCCCCUGAUCUAGAUUCCCAGCUCUUCUGUGGUUUUUACUUUCUAAUCAUUUGUUCUUUAGUAUUUGGAAACGUACCUCCCUAAGUUUGGAGAUUUUCUUGUAUCUUAAAGGAAUAAUUUCCCUCCUCUCCCUACUUCCUGAAUCAGGCAGGGUCUUAUUCUGUAGCUCAUGCUUUAAACUCUCCCGCCUCAGCCUUCUAAGCACUGGGACUAUAGAUGUGUGCUGGCCAGAACUAUUUUCUUACCUUUUUCCUCUUCCCUCUUUAUAACAGAUCUCCUUUCAUUCAUGCAUGAGAUUUUAAUUUCUUUAAAGAAGGUUUUGCACACACGCACACACAAUAUCCAUACCUCUUAGAUUCCUGAGAUAAGUAUAUUUUCCAUUACGUGUGGUGGGGGGUGGUUCUUCUCUCUCUCUCUCUCUCUCUCUCUCUCUCUCUCUCUUAGAGAUUUAUUCAUUCAUUGUAUAUGAGUACACACUGUAGCUGUACAAAUGGUUGUGAGCCUUCCAUCUGGUUGUUGGGAAUUGAAUUUAGAACCUCUGCUCCCUCUGGUCAACCUUGCUCACUCAGUCCCUGCUUGUUCCAGCCCAAAGAUUUAUUAUUAUAAAUAAGUACACAUUAUAGCUGUCCUCAGACGCACCAGAAGAGGGCAUCAGAUCUCAUUAAGGGUGGUUGUGAGCCACCCUGUGGUUGCUGGGAUUUGAACUCAGGACCUUCAGAAGAGCGCUCAGUGCUCUUACUGCUGAGCCAUCUCACCAGCCCUGUAGCUUCUUUUCUUAAUACUCCUGUUUCAAGCACUGCUCCCGUUUGUGGAAAAGGUAUUGACGUUAGAGCAGAGGUAGAGUUGGGAUCCCAGUGCUCUCUCUUAGAUUUUAGCAAAGCCCCUCAGUCCUCUGCAGUCACCUUGCCUCUGUCUUCUGGCCAGUAGGCUGUUCACAUUUCCUUGUACUGACGAUUCAGCUACUAUAUACUUCUUUUUUUUAUACUUGAGAAAUUCAUUUUCUGUUCUUUGAUAUUAUGGAUUUAUACCUUCUUUUUCUUCACUUUGGCUUAAAUGCAACUUUAGAAAAAGAAGAUAAUUGUGUGUCAUUAUCUGCCACGUUUAAUCAAUCACUGAUUCUUUCGGUCUUGAAUUUAUAUAAGGCAUCUUUCAGAAUGUGUUGACACUAUUGAUUAAUUGGAGUUUGGUAGAUGACAAAAAUACUUUCUAAAAAUCUGUCUGUAACUAACACCCGAAAACUCAAGAAUAACGUAAUUGGGGAGCUGGAGUGAUGGCUCAGUGGUUAAGAGCAGUUGUUGAUCUUUCAGAGGACCUGACUUUGAUUCCCAGCAGCCACAUGGUGGCUUCCAACCCGUAGAACUCCCAGUUUCAGGGGAUCUGAUAUCCUUUUCUGGUCUUCUUGGGAACCAGAUGCGUACAUGGUUCACGGGCAUACUUGAAACCAAAACACUAAUAUACAUAAACUAAAAUAAAAAUAUUUGAGAGAGAGAGAGAGAAAAAAGC
rnacentral:lncRNA from 1 species